UAUGCAGCGAGCAAUCAACAAUUAUCCUAACGUUGAUUGCUCGCUACAUAUACGACAUUACCAUCUGGUUGGUGCUAACGUUUGUUGUAGAUGGUGUGGAAGUACCUCUUUCAAACUAACGUUUGUCGUAGAUGGUGUGGAAGUACCUCUUUCACACUAACGUCUAUUGUAAACCAACCUGAUACUUUUGUGAAAUUUAAUUGCCUUUCAGGUCUUUACUUACGACAUGUUUUACUCCUUUUGUUUUCUUACUGUCACCAAAAACGCCUCUCACAGAAUUGUUAUGCUGCUUUGUCGUUUUAUUGUUACCAAACAUGCCUCAUGCAAGAAUAUUAAUUAUUGGCCUAUGUUUUCUUACGGUCACCAAAAACGCCUCUCACAGAAUUGUUAUGCUAGGUUUCCCCUUUUCCUUGCUAUAGGGCUCAAAUGCCACAGAAGUUGCUAUAUAUAGGAUUGAACUGUUUCUUGAUAGCUCAAUCCUGUACUGGUUUUAGUUGUUAAAGCACAAGAGGCUUCAUAUUUGUGAAUGUUUUAGAACAGAUAGGUGCACACAGGUGCAGUGCAUGCAUGUUCAUAUUGUCCGCAUCGAUUUGAUGCUUGCACUGAAUUUCCUUGAGACACAAUUUAACAAGAUUCCCCUGAUAAUUGAAUAAUUAGUUGUCAUCCUAUACUUGAUAGAAUGAUGCUCCUACCGUAACUGUAGAUGCAUGCAUGUCUGUAGCAGGAAAUCAUUCUCUUGUUACCUUAUUAUUAUCACUGGUUACAAAGUUCCGAUGGCUUGCAUUCUAUGGUAGUAAACUUGCUAUAUUUCGGGUACUAUGGUUUAUUUCUCAUCUGCUCUAACUGCUAGAGAACCAGUGUCCUAAUGGCAUGUAUAAUGGGGUGAUGCCAGUCUUGUCUUUGUAAUGCACCAGCCCGGUUGGAGAUGCUCUUUGUCCAUCUGAUUAGUACUUAGCGGCUUGGUGAACACUGAAUAGAACUAAAAUGAUGUCUAGCUUGUGAGAGAGUUACACAAAGUAAGCCCUGUCCGGAAUACAGGGUAUUUGCCCUGUUCCCAUGGCGAAUAAAAUGGUUCCUGUGAAAUUCUUGCUUUCCAAAGAGGCCCUUAGUUCGAAGAGAUUGGAUUUUGUGCAACCAGUUGCCGACACACCCCAUUAUUCAAUUUUUUGGAGUUUUCAAAAAAAUGUAGAACAGUUGAUGGAUUUAAUCCCUGCUUGAAUUUUCAUGCAAUUAUUCUAACUAAUUCAUUAAGAUAGCUAAACAUAUGGAUAGAUUUUUAUUGGCCAAGCAUAUGCUUGAGCUGAAAGUAUUAAACUGAUGGUAGCCUGAUGGUGAGCGGAUAAUCCUUGCCUAUUUUAAUGCAGCCAAAUCUGGUUUUACCUGCAUAAUUCUUGCUCAACAUUUGUGCAAAACUAAACAUAUAAUCCUCCUAAAUUGUGAGUUGAAAUGCGGCACAACUGCAAUGUUGGGCUUCGGGCAAUUCAAACGAGUUAUGAUGAGCCUGCAUGUGGGAUAGGAGAAGGUGAUGACACAGUUGGAUCUGAGUGCGCAAAAUGAACUGUUUUGUUUUGUUUCGCACGCUGGUCUGCCAUCUAAGAUCUCACCGGCCCCUACAAUGUUUUCAGCGUCGGUGCCUUUGCCGGCAGAGAAUUUUGAUGAUGGAUCAACGGAGGAACCCGAGCAUCCUUAUAUGAAGGAAAAUCCACUAAAGGAAUCGGCCCCCUUUCUCCAGGAG